AUGCCGCCCGUGCUGUGGCAGCUCUGCCCGUGCUGGGGCAAUGCCGCCCGUGCUGUGGCAGCUCUGCCCGUGCUGGGGCAGCUCUGCCCGUGCUGUGGCAGCUCUGCCCGUGCUGGGGCAAUGCCGCCCGUGCUGGGGCAAUGCCGCCCGUGCUGUGGCAGUGCCGCCCGUGCUGUGGCAGUGCUGCCCGUGCUGUGGCAGUGCCGCCCGUGCUGGGGCAGCUCUGCCCGUGCUGGGGCAGCUCUGCCCGUGCUGUGGCAGUGCUGCCCGUGCUGUGGCAGUGCCGCCCGUGCUGGGGCAAUGCCGCCCGUGCUGGGGCAGUGCCGCCCGUGCUGGGGCAAUGCCGCCCGUGCUGUGGCAGCUCUGCCCGUGCUGUGGCAGCUCUGCCCGUGCUGUGGCAAUGCCGCCCGUGCUGGGGCAGCUCUGCCCGUGCUGGGGCAGCUCUGCCCGUGCUGGGGCAAUGCCGCCCGUGCUGGGGCAGUGCCGCCCGUGCUGGGGCAGUGCCGCCCGUGCUGGGGCAGCUCUGCCCGUGCUGGGGCAGUGCCGCCCGUGCUGUGGCAGUGCUGCCCGUGCUGGGGCAGCUCUGCCCGUGCUGGGGCAGUGCCGCCCGUGCUGGGGCAGUGCCGCCCGUGCUGUGGCAGUGCCGCCCGUGCUGGGGCAAUGCCGCCCGUGCUGUGGCAGCUCUGCCCGUGCUGGGGCAAUGCCGCCCGUGCUGGGGCAGCUCUGCCCGUGCUGGGGCAGUGCCGCCCGUGCUGUGGCAGUGCUGCCCGUGCUGGGGCAGCUCUGCCCGUGCUGGGGCAGUGCCGCCCGUGCUGGGGCAGUGCUGCCCGGGCGGGUUCACAGCGGACCCGCGCCCUGCAGCUGCUCCCGACGAGCCUCGGGUCUCCCUUUCCCAUGCGCUGCACGUCCCGCUUUGCCCGUGAGACGAACGGGGGGCUCCGGGGCUGCCCGGACCCGCAGUACCUGGUGCCCCUGGAGCUCUCCCGGUCCCGCUGCCGCUCCCUCCGCCUGAGCCACCCUGCUCCCGGCAGCGCCAGCCGGGAAUGCCGAUGCCCCGCUGUGGGACACGGGCGCCGCCGGGAUUUGUCCUGGAGCGAGGCGGCGGAACCGGGAGCGCUUCGUUCCCAGCUCCCGGCGCGUCCCGCGGAAGUCCCCGCUAUUCCUGGGGAGUGGGAUGACGCGAUUCCAGUGGGGCGCUGGGAUCCCCGGGGGAUUCGAACCGGGAUCGCCGGGAGAUUGCAGCCGGGAUCCCUGGAGAUUUCAGCUGGGAUGCCUGGGGGAUUCACGGUGGGAUCCCCGGGAGACUCAUGCCGGGAUCCCGUCGCCCGCCUGCCACCGCCCCUUCGCGCCGGGGGCGGCAGCAGCCGCCGCCGCUCCGCCCUCCCCGCGUUGUUUGUCCCCGGGCGCGCUCCGUAG
rnacentral:lncRNA from 1 species